rnacentral:rRNA from 1 species
GAAAGGCUUUUUGAAGUCUUCGGAUGGAUAGAAGAACCCCUGAUGCCGUCGAGCCAAGAAAAGUUUCUAAGUUUAGCUAAUGUUGCCCGUACCGUAAACCGACACAGGUGGGUGGGAUGAGUAUUCUAAGGCGCGUGGAAGAACUCUCUUUAAGGAACUCUGCAAAAUAGCACCGUAUCUUCGGUAUAAGGUGUGGUUAGCUUUGUAUUAGGAUUUACUCCGAAAGCAAGGAAACUUACAACAAAGAGUCCCUCCCGACUGUUUACCAAAAACACAGCACUCUGCUAACUCGUAAGAGGAUGUAUAGGGUGUGACGCCUGCCCGGUGCUCGAAGGUUAAUUGAUGGGGUUAGCAUUAGCGAAGCUCUUGAUCGAAGCCCGAGUAAACGGCGGCCGUAACUAUAACGGUCCUAAGGUAGCGAAAUUCCUUGUCGGUUAAAUACCGACCUGCAUGAAUGGCGUAACGAGAUGGGAGCUGUCUCAAAGAGGGAUCCAGUGAAAUUGUAGUGGAGGUGAAAAUUCCUCCUACCCGCGGCAAGACGGAAAGACCCCGUGGACCUU